rnacentral:rRNA from 1 species
UGAGGAAUCUUGCGCAAUGGGGGAAACCCUGACGCAGCAACGCCGCGUGAGUGAGGAAGGUCUUCGGGUCGUAAAGCUCUGUCAGGCGGGAAGAAAUGCAUGGAGGUGAACAGCCGCCAUGCUUGACGGUACCGCCAGAGGAAGCACCGGCUAACUCCGUGCCAGCAGCCGCGGUAAUACGGGGGGUGCAAGCGUUGUUCGGAAUCAUUGGGCGUAAAGAGCGUGUAGGCGGCUUGGUAAGUCAGAUGUGAAAGCCCUGGGCUCAACCCGGGAAGUGCAUUUGAAACUGCCAGGCUCGAGUAGGGGAGAGGGAAGUGGAAUUCCUGGUGUAGAGGUGAAAUUCGUAGAUAUCAGGAGGAACACCGGGGGCGAAGGCGACUUCCUGGCCCUAUACUGACGCUGAGACGCGAGAGCGUGGGUAG